CACAAACACAUCAAGCAGCUGUGAAUGUACCCCACAUGCAGGCACUGUAAUCCCAUUCCUGUUCCUAUAAAGAAAUAGACACAGUGCAGCAGUAUUUCAGCAGGCUCCACAGCAAGUACCUCAGCGUCCAAGGGUUCUGUCUCCACUACAAGAAAAGUUCUACCCCAAUGGCUCUAAAGAAAUCGUGUUUCCCGACGGGACAGUGAAACGUCUCAAGGAUGGACAGGAAGAGACCUUAUUUCCUGAUGGAACAAUCGUAAGGGUGGAAAGGAAUGGCGACAAAACAUUGUGCUCAGCAAUGGGCAGAAAGAAAUCCACACAGCCCAGUUCAAGAGGAGGGAGUACCCGGGUGGCACCAUCAAGACUGUAUUGCAGCGGCUGUCAGGAAACCAAGUAUGCCUCCGGGAGGGUUAAGAUCAAAGAUGAAGCUGGAAACGUCGUCCUGGACGAGAAGCAGAUGAGCCCUCAAUACGCAGUGUCACAUGGGAAAUGUCAGUUGUAGUUUUUUGCUAAAACGGACAAAAACUAAUAACAUAUUAGCUGCCCUAAAUGAUCUUGGAGAGCCACCAAAACUUUAGGACUACCCAAGUCAUCUAGAAAUUGCAAAGGAAAAGACAUUCUCUCCUCUAUUUAGGAAACUUGGUUAGAGCAGCACCCGUCAGAGAACAGGAGGCUCACAGAAG
rnacentral:sRNA from 1 species